rnacentral:rRNA from 1 species
UACGUAGGGGGCUAGCGUUAUCCGGAAUUACUGGGCGUAAAGGGUGCGUAGGCGGUCUUUCAAGCCAGAAGUGAAAGGCUACGGCUCAACCGUAGUAAGCUUUUGGAACUGUAAGACUUGAGUGCAGGAGAGGAGAGUGGAAUUCCUAGUGUAGCGGUGAAAUGCGUAGAUAUUAGGAGGAACACCAGUAGCGAAGGCGGCUCUCUGGACCGUAACUGACGCUGAGGCACGAAAGCGUGGGGAGCAAACAGGAUUAGAUACCCUGGUAGUCCCUGA